UUACCUAAUUCAGUAUGGAGUUGGAAAGUUUACCUACGUUUGCCGCUAGGGGCGCUGUUCCAACUGCAUACAAGUUUAAGUUA
rnacentral:pre_miRNA from 1 species